CCUACGGGAGGCUGCAGUGAGGAAUAUUGGUCAAUGGGCGUAAGCCUGAACCAGCCAAGUCGCGUGAGGGAUGAAGGUUCUAUGGAUUGUAAACCUCUUUUAUCAGGGAAUAAAGUGCGGGACGUGUCCCGUUUUGUAUGUACCUUAUGAAUAAGGAUCGGCUAACUCCGUGCCAGCAGCCGCGGUAAUACGGAGGAUCCGAGCGUUAUCCGGAUUUAUUGGGUUUAAAGGGUGCGUAGGCGGGCGUUUAAGUCAGCGGUGAAAGUUGGUGGCUCAACCAUCGAAGAGCCGUUGAAACUGGGAGCCUUGAGUGUGUGAGAGGCAGGCGGAAUGCGUGGUGUAGCGGUGAAAUGCUUAGAUAUCACGCAGAACCCCGAUUGCGAAGGCAGCGUGCC
rnacentral:rRNA from 1 species